GUCCACGCCGUAAACGAUGGAUACUAGCUGUUGGAAGCAAUUUCAGUGGCUAAGCGAAAGUGAUAAGUAUCCCACCUGGGGAGUACGUUCGCAAGAAUGAAACUCAAAGGAAUUGACGGGGGCCCGCACAAGCGGUGGAGCAUGUGGUUUAAUUCGAUGAUACGCGAGGAACCUUACCAAGGCUUAAAUGUAGUUUGACAGAUUUGGAAACAGAUUUUUCUUCGGACAAAUUACAAGGUGCUGCAUGGUUGUCGU
rnacentral:rRNA from 1 species